rnacentral:rRNA from 1 species
GUUGAACGCUGGCGGCGUGCCUAAUACAUGCAAGUCGAGCGAGUGGCGGACGGGUGAGUAAUGUCUGGGAAACUGCCUGAUGGAGGGGGAUAACUACUGGAAACGGUAGCUAAUACCGCAUACCAUCAGAUGUGCCCAGAUGGGAUUAGCUAGUAGGUGGGGUAAUGGCUCACCAAGGCGACGAGCCCUAGCUGGUCUGAGAGGAUGACCAGCCACACUGGAACUGAGACACGGUCCAGACUCCUACGGGAGGCAGCAGUGGGGAAUAUUGCACAAUGGGCGCAAGCCUGAUGCAGCCAUGCCGCGUGUGUGAAGAAGGCCUUCGGGUUGUAAAGUACUUUCAGCGAGGAGGCGUUACUCGCAGAAGAAGCACCGGCUAACUCCGUGCCAGCAGCCGCGGUAAUUC